rnacentral:rRNA from 1 species
UACGUAGGUGGCAAGCGUUGCCCGGAAUUACUGGGUGUAAAGGGAGCGCAGGCGGGAAGCCAAGUCAGCUGUGAAAACUACGGGCUUAACUUGUAGACUGCAGUUGAAACUGGUUUUCUUGAGUGAAGUAGAGGUUGGCGGAAUUCCGAGUGUAGCGGUGAAAUGCGUAGAUAUUCGGAGGAACACCGGUGGCGAAGGCGGCCAACUGGGCUUUAACUGACGCUGAGGCUCGAAAGUGUGGGGAGCAAACAGG